rnacentral:rRNA from 1 species
AGAAUCAACGCUGGCGGCGUGCCUAACACAUGCAAGUCGAACGAGAAAGUGGGAGCAAUCCCACGAGUAAAGUGGCGCACGGGUGAGUAACACGUGACUAACCUACCCUUGAGUGGGGGAUAACCUAGGGAAACCUGGGCUAAUACCGCAUAAUACCUACGGGUCAAAGGAGCAAUUCGCUUUAGGAGGGGGUCGCGGCAGAUUAGUUAGUUGGCGGGGUAAUGGCCCACCAAGACAGUGAUCUGUAUCCGGCCUGAGAGGGCGCACGGACACACUGGAACUGAAACACGGUCCAGACUCCUACGGGAGGCAGCAGUGGGGAAUUUGCGCAAUGGGGGAAACCCUGACGCAGCAACGCCGCGUGGAGGAUGAAGCCCCUUGGGGCGUAAACUCCUUUCGAUCGGGAAGAUAAUGACGGUACCGGAAGAAGAAGCCCCGGCUAACUUCGUGCCAGCAGCGC